rnacentral:rRNA from 1 species
AUGAUCAAUUUCACUUGCAGGAGAAGAGGAAGGGGCGGAGCUAUGGGCAACUCCGGCAGCACAGCUCCCGCGCGUCUAGGAAAGACCCAUGUUCCAGAUUUAGAAUGGAAGGUGCACAACUUCUCAGCGCUGCUUGAGACGAAAGCUUCCUCGGCGAUAUCUUCUUUUUUUCACUGCUCUGGGUACAAGUGGUACCUGCAAGUGACUCCAAAGCACAAUCAAGAUGCUCAAGUGUCUCCAAAUCGCAAACAAGAUGAUAAAGGAAAUCCAUAUGUUGCUCUUUCUCUUAUGAUAUUCCGGGAAGGCUUGGAGCCAGGUCACACGGUGCAUGCAGUGUUUGAGUUGUCAAUAUUUAACCAUUCGAAAGGAAUGUAUCGUGGAUGCAAAGCUAGCUACAACUUCAAUGUCAAGAAUACCUACUCGAACAAGGAAUGCUUGAUUCCUCUUGAAGAGAUACUAAAAUCACCUGCUUUUCUAGUUGAUGAUAGCUGUGUCUUUGGUGUGGAGAUAUUAAAAAUUGACGUCUCUUCUCCCGAAAUGAAGUCUGCCGUGAUUCAGAAAAAGGCUACCACAGUUCAGAACCUCUUUGUCCAGAAGAAGGGAUUCAUCAAAGGGACAUACACUUGGACCAUGAACAAUUUCCUAGAAUUGGACUCUCAGCACUUUGUCCGUUCUCCUACAUUUGAAGUUUGCGGGCAUAAAUGGUUUUCCUGUUACCAGUUGCAUCACAAAUUCUCUCUCUAUAAAUACUAUGCAUGUGUUAUCUGA